rnacentral:rRNA from 1 species
CCUACGGGAAGCAGCAGUCGAGAAUCAUUCACAAUGGGGGAAACCCUGAUGGUGCGACGCCGCGUGGGGGAAUGAAGGUCUUCGGAUUGUAAACCCCUGUCAUGUGGGAGCAAAUUAAAAAGAUAGUACCACAAGAGGAAGAGACGGCUAACUCUGUGCCAGCAGCCGCGGUAAUACAGAGGUCUCAAGCGUUGUUCGGAAUCACUGGGCGUAAGGCGUGCGUAGGCUGUUUCGUAAGUCGUGUGUGAAAGGCGCGGGCUCAACCCGCGGACGGCACAUGAUACUGCGAGACUAGAGUAAUGGAGGGGGAACCGGAAUUCUCGGUGUAGCAGUGAAAUGCGUAGAUAUCGAGAGGAACACUCGUGGCGAAGGCGGGUUCCUGGACAUUAACUGACGCUGAGGCACGAAGGCCAGGGGAGCGAAAGGGAUUAGAUACCCUUGUAGUC